ensembl:lncRNA
AUGCCAUAUUUUAAAAACUCUUUUCAAGUGCUGUUGUUUUCCCCUUUUUCUUCAUCAGUGUUCUGGACAUCUUGGAAAAGGUAUACGGGAAGCAACAGAAAUCCUUACAAUUGCAAAAUAAAACCUGAGGGGAUAGGAACCGAGAACUUUUCAAUGAAGAAGACAAGAAUUGUUGACAAUUCAUACUUUAGGUCUGUUAUUGGAGCCCACCAGCAUGCCAGGAGUAGCUGGGAGUAUUCAGUGGAGCCCCAUCUGAGACUCUGCCAGAACACAAAGCCUCUCUCUUCGUACAUUUCAAGACUCUUAAUUCCUGUAUUACUCACUGGAGGACUGGGAGAUAGAAAAUCAGAGAAGAGGAGCAAAGACAAGGAAGAGGCAAGUAGGUGGGAUGAGGGGGUGGAGAGAGGAGCUACUGGAGAGUUGCCAGGAUCUGGUACAGGGAGGGAGCUGGGAUCUGGCAGCCUCAAAGGUCCUGGCUGGUUGAUGGGGACUCUGGGGGAUGCUCUUGGGUCUCCUUCCUGGGGCCACUUUAGGCCUCACCCCUUGGUUCACAGGGUGGCUCUAAUGUCUUCUGUCAAAAUUUGAAAACAGUCAAAACAUCAUUUCCUUUAAAAAAUUGUUGAAAACGCUCUUCAACAAUGGCCUGUGCUGGAUAUUUUUCAACAAUUUAAAAUCCUCCCAAGUGGAAGGAAAUCAAAUCCUUUAAGACACAAACACACACACCUACAUACAGAAAUUCUUUCCUACAAAUAAAAUGCAUACUUCAUUUUACA